GGAUCGUCUCUAGGCGCUGUCUCUCCUGGAACACAGAAGAGGGGAAGGGAAUAAAUGAUCCCAGCCUUAAGACGAAUGCUAUUUCAGACAGUGAAAUGCAGUAUUCAAAGGCUUGUGCACAGGAAGUGUGGUCUACUGACUGCAUAUAUUAAAGAAAGCAUUGAAGAGGACACAAGAUCUUAAAAUAUAUACCUGAAGAUAAGCGUGUACAAUCCUUUCCCUCAGCAAUUAAAAAAAGAGGAGCAGACUGAACCUGUUUUGACCUCAGAGCUUUCUUUCUUUUUUCAGGUGAAUGUGUCUGACAGUGCCUCACUGCAGUCACAGCCCUCUUUCAGGGACUUCAUCCAUCUCCCAAGCCCAUCCAUAUCCCAGAACUAAUGGCAGCCAGCCUAGGC